GGCAAGAUGGCCGAGCGGUCUAAGGCGCUGUGUUCAGGUCGCAGUCCGAAAGGGCGUGGGUUCGAAUCCCACUCUUGUCA
rnacentral:tRNA from 9 species